CAUGCAAGUCGAAUGGUAACAGGAAACAGCUUGCUGUUUCGCUGACGAGUGGCGGACGGGUGAGUAAUGUCUGGGAAACUGCCUGAUGGAGGGGGAUAACUACUGGAAACGGUAGCUAAUACCGCAUAACGUCGCAAGACCAAAGAGGGGGACCUUCGGGCCUCUUGCCAUCAGAUGUGCCCAGAUGGGAUUAGCUAGUAGGUGGGGUAACGGCUCACCUAGGCGACGAUCCCUAGCUGGUCUGAGAGGAUGACCAGCCACACUGGAACUGAGACACGGUCCAGACUCCUACGGGAGGCAGCAGUGGGGAAUAUUGCACAAUGGGCGCAAGCCUGAUGCGGCCAUGCCGCGUGUAUGAAGAAGGCCUUCGGGUUGUAAAGUACUUUCAGCGGGGAGGAAGGGAGUAAAGUUAAUACCUUUGCUCAUUGACGUUACCCGCAGAAGAAGCACCGGCUAACUCCGUGCCAGCAGCCGCGGUAAUACGGAGGGUGCAAGCGUUAAUCGGAAUUACUGGGCGUAAAGCGCACGCAGGCGGUUUGUUAAGUCAGAUGUGAAAUCCCCGGGCUCAACCUGGGAACUGCAUCUGAUACUGGCAAGCUUGAGUCUCGUAGAGGGGGGUAGAAUUCCAGGUGUAGCGGUGAAAUGCGUAGAGAUCUGGAGGAAUACCGGUGGCGAAGGCGGCCCCCUGGACGAAGACUGACGCUCAGGUGCGAAAGCGUGGGGAGCAAA
rnacentral:rRNA from 1 species